rnacentral:lncRNA from 1 species
CGAGGACUAGAGGUUCAGGCAAAGCCUGGGCAGUGGCUCGCACCUUUGUUCCUUGUAUCUGGGGCUCAGAGCACUGGGUAAAACCAGGAGGAGCGCUCCCAGCACAGCACAAGUGCACAGAUGAUUGCUGUCUGCUGAGAGGCAGGCACUGCGGGUCUGACCACAUCCCCCCCAGCUCAGGUCCCCAGGAGUCCAGAGGAAGGAGCAUACUUACAGAGUAAAAUAAAUUAGCUGAAAGAUUGUGAUCCCUCUGACUAUUCCCUCGCCCACCUGGGAUCUUCAGGGGUGGGUGAGGGACAUCAGGAGCACCACCGAGGCCCUGGACCCAGGUUACUACAGCAGUUGAUGGAGACCCUGGAACUGGAGGAGACAGCAGGUGAGCAGCACUGGGAGGAGACCCCGCGGCCUUUGCCAACAGGGCCUGGGGUCCCAAUAUGGACAAACUGAAGGUCAAGGCCUUCCAGAGCUCAAGUCCACCAGGGACCCUGCCUCCCUUUUCCAAGGGCGAUGUUCACACUGAGCGCAAAAAUCAACAUCGGGCGGCGGGGCAGCUAAACAAUCACAGAAACAAGUGGCCAUUCAAACCAGACGCCUCGGGUGAUACGCUGCUUAAAGACCCACCCGUCCCCGGGGGCGGGGGCGCUUUUGCCCUUUACCCAUCUCAUGACUGGCACUAAGUGCCGCCCCACCCAAUUCUGCGUCAAGUUCUACUUCCCAUUUCUAAGCCCAGCGCUCCAGCUUCCCCUUUCCCACUGUGCGGUCUGCAGCCGACCUGAAGCUCCAGCAGGCUUUCCUUAGGGAUCUGACCAGUCCGUCCGCAGACACUGUCCCUGCGGCGGUCCCUUCGCUCGCCCAGAGACGUGCGGCCCGAUCAGCGCCCCCGCCGGUGCUGCGAGGCCCGGCCCGCGGAGACGCCCUCCCGGGUUGCGUCAUCUCGGCAAAGGGCCCUCGGCCCCGGGGGAGAUUUUCACAAUCGCGCAGCCGGCAAUGCCAGCAGCCAUUUGCUGAGCAUUGUAAACAAGCCCCAAAGUCGCCUCCAUUUUCCUCGGCUCCCAUCCGGGGUCCCCUUCAUCAAAGAGCUCGCGCUCCGCGCCAAGCGCGGACCCCCUGGACCCCCGUCCCUGGCUACGACCACUCCUGGCACAGCAGUCCUCCGCGGAAAGGGCGAUCCGGCAUUCACCCCGAUAAGGGCCCCGGGCGCCGUCUACGUGGCGCUGUCCGACUCCGCGCGUCCUCGGGGCUAUAAAGAGAUCGCCAGGGCGGCCGCCGUCCCGUGGGAAAGGCUACUCCGCCGGGCUC